CACUGUCACUCCUACGGGGAGGCAGCAGUGGGGAAUAUUGCACAAUGGGCGCAAGCCUGAUGCAGCCAUGCCGCGUGUGUGAAGAAGGCCUUCGGGUUGUAAAGCACUUUCAGUCGUGAGGAAGCGGGUACGUUAAUAGCGUAUUCGUUUGACGUUAGCGACAGAAGAAAGCACCGGCUAACUCCGUGCCAGCAGCCGCGGUAAUACGGAGGGUGCGAGCGUUAAUCGGAAUUACUGGGCGUAAAGCGCAUGCAGGUGGUUUGUUAAGUCAGAUGUGAAAGCCCGGGGCUCAACCUCGGAAUAGCAUUUGAAACUGGCAGACUAGAGUACUGUAGAGGGGGGUAGGAAUUUCAGGUGUAGCGGUGAAAUGCGUAGAGAUCUGAAGGAAUACCGGUGGCGAAGGCGGCCCCCUCGGACAGAUACUGACACUCAGAUGCGAAAGCGUGGGGAGCAAACAGGAUUAGAUACCCUGGUAG
rnacentral:rRNA from 1 species